rnacentral:rRNA from 1 species
CUAGUAAUCGCGGAUCAGCAUGCCGCGGUGAAUACGUUCCCGGGCCUUGUACACACCGCCCGUCACACCAUGGGAGCCGGUAAUACCCGAAGUCAGUAGUCCAACCACGUGAGGACGCUGCCGAAGGUAGGAUUGGCGACUGGGGUGAAGUCGUAACAAGGUACC